rnacentral:rRNA from 1 species
AGUGAACGCUGGCGGUAGGCCUAACACAUGCAAGUCGAACGGCAGCACAGUAAGAGCUUGCUCUUACGGGUGGCGAGUGGCGGACGGGUGAGGAAUACAUCGGAAUCUACUUUUUCGUGGGGGAUAACGUAGGGAAACUUACGCUAUACCGCAUACGACUUACGGGUGAAAGCAGGGGAUCUUCGGACCUUGCGCGAUUGAAUGAGCCGAUGUCGGAUUAGCUAGUUGGCGGGGUAAAGGCCCACCAAGGCGACGAUGCGUAGCUGGUCUGAGAGGAUGAUCAGCCACACUGGAACUGAGACACGGUCCAGACUCCUACGGGAGGCAGCAGUGGGGAAUAUUGGGCAAUGGGCGCAAGCCUGAUCCAGCCAUACCGCGUGGGUGAAGAAGGCCUUCGGGUUGUAAAGCCCUUUUGUUGGGAAAGAAAAGCAGCAGGUUAAUACCCCGCUGUUCUGACGGUACCCAAAGAAUAAGCACCGGCUAACUUCGUG